rnacentral:sRNA from 1 species
UUGCUGGUCGUAGAGUAUGAAGUCCUGUUUAUUGGCAGACCAGGGGUACAGCAUGGGCAGCAGCAGUGCAAGAUUCCUCCGAGCUAUCCUGCCAUUGUAACUCAGUGCUGACCUGGAAUUCCCUCAUUAGGAUCAGAGGAGAGUUCAGUCUACAUGAUGCAACGUGGUCCUUUGCCUCU